AGUGAACGCUGGCAGUAGGCCUAACACAUGCAAGUCGAACGGCAGCACAGUAAGAGCUUGCUCUUACGGGUGGCGAGUGGCGGACGGGUGAGGAAUACAUCGGAAUCUACUUUUUCGUGGGGGAUAACGUAGGGAAACUUACGCUAAUACCGCAUACGACCUACGGGUGAAAGCAGGGGAUCUUCGGACCUUGCGCGAUUGAAUGAGCCGAUGUCGGAUUAGCUAGUUGGCGGGGUAAAGGCCCACCAAGGCGACGAUCCGUAGCUGGUCUGAGAGGAUGAUCAGCCACACUGGAACUGAGACACGGUCCAGGCUCCUACGGGAGGCAGCAGUGGGGAAUAUUGGACAAUGGGCGCAAGCCUGAUCCAGCCAUACCGCGUGGGUGAAGAAGGCCUUCGGGUUGUAAAGCCCUUUUGUUGGGAAAGAAAAGCAGCAGGUUAAUACCCCGCUGUUCUGACGGUACCCAAAGAAUAAGCACCGGCUAACUUCGUG
rnacentral:rRNA from 1 species